GAUGAACGCUGGCGGCGUGCCUAAUACAUGCAAGUCGAGCGAACAGAUGAGGAGCUUGCUCCUCUGACGUUAGCGGCGGACGGGUGAGUAACACGUGGAUAACCUACCUAUAAGACUGGGAUAACUUCGGGAAACCGGAGCUAAUACCGGAUAAUAUAUCGAACCGCAUGGUUCAAUAGUGAAAGACGGUUUUGCUGUCACUUAUAGAUGGAUCCGCGCCGCAUUAGCUAGUUGGUAAGGUAACGGCUUACCAAGGCAACGAUGCGUAGCCGACCUGAGAGGGUGAUCAGCCACACUGGAACUGAGACACGGUCCAGACUCCUACGGGAGGCAGCAGUAGGGAAUCUUCCGCAAUGGGCGAAAGCCUGACGGAGCAACGCCGCGUGAGUGAUGAAGGUCUUCGGAUCGUAAAACUCUGUUAUUAGGGAAGAACAAAUGUGUAAGUAACUAUGCACGUCUUGACGGUACCUAAUCAGAAAGCCACGGCUAACUACGUG
rnacentral:rRNA from 1 species